rfam:Glossina austeni unplaced genomic scaffold Scaffold4, whole genome shotgun sequence.
AGGGCCUUAGCUUUGGGCGGGUUUUGGUGUGUAUGGAUUUGAAACCAUUGAAACCGUCCAAAACUGAGGCCAGA